GCCUAGAAGAUGCUGACCUUGAUGUUCAGAUACCUUCUAGGGUCCUUCUUGAUUUCUGUCAGCAGCGACUGGAAUUCAGCAACGGCCUUGUUCAUGUUCUCAUAUAACCGCUUAUCUUUCAGCAACUGUCCCGCCGUGCCCUCCCCCUCAUUCAACUUUGUCACGAUUUGGUCGAACCGGUCGGUGACCGAAUUCAUAUGAUUGAAAAGCGACGGGUCAUUCAUCAGCUUGCCCGCCGUGCCCUCACCGCGAUUGAGCCGGGCGGUCAGCUCCUGCAGAUUCGCCGUGGCCGCGUUGAGAGAAUUCGA
rnacentral:misc_RNA from 1 species